AUUGAACGCUGGCGGCAGGCCUAACACAUGCAAGUCGAGCGGUAGAGAGGUGCUUGCAUCUCUUGAGAGCGGCGGACGGGUGAGUAAUGCCUAGGAAUCUGCCUGGUAGUGGGGGAUAACGCUCGGAAACGGACGCUAAUACCGCAUACGUCCUACGGGAGAAAGCAGGGGACCUUCGGGCCUUGCGCUAUCAGAUGAGCCUAGGUCGGAUUAGCUAGUUGGUGAGGUAAUGGCUCACCAAGGCGACGAUCCGUAACUGGUCUGAGAGGACGAUCAGUCACACUGGAACUGAGACACGGUCCAGACUCCUACGGGAGGCAGCAGUGGGGAAUAUUGGACAAUGGGCGAAAGCCUGAUCCAGCCAUGCCACGUGUGUGAAGAAGGUCUUCGGAUUGUAAAGCACUUUAAGUUGGGAGGAAGGGUCGUUACCUAAUACGUGACGAUUUUGACGUUACCGACAGAAUAAGCACCGGCUAACUCUGUGCCAGCAGCCGCCGUAAAAC
rnacentral:rRNA from 1 species